AGCAGCCGCGGUAAUUCCAGCUCCAAUAGCGUAUAUUAAAGUUGUUGCAGUUAAAAAGCUCGUAGUUGAAUUUCGGGGUCAGUAGAUUGGUCGUGCCACUGGUACGUACUGGUCUUACUGAUUCCUCCCUCCUGAUGAACUGUAAUGCCAUUAAUUUGGUGUUGCAGGGAAUCUGGACUGUUACUUUGAAAAAAUUAGAGUGUUUAAAGCAGGCUAACGCUUGAAUACAUUAGCAUGGAAUAAUGAAAUAGGACGCUCGAUCCUAUUUUGUUGGUUUCUAGGAUUGACGUAAUGAUUAAUAGGGAUAGUUGGGGGCAUUAGUAUUCAAUUGUCAGAGGUGAAAUUCUUGGAUUUAUUGAAGACUAACUACUGCGAAAGCAUUUGCCAAGGAUGUUUUCAUUAAUCAAGAACGAAAGUUAGGGGAUCGAAGACGAUCAGAUACCGUCGUAGUCUUAACCAUAAACUAUGCCGACUAGGGAUCGGAUGAUGUUAAUUUUUUAAUGACUCAUUCGGCGCCUUACG
rnacentral:rRNA from 1 species